AUCCAGCUAACGAGUCCCAAAUAGGACGAAACGCAUGUCCUGUGU
rfam:Schistosoma curassoni strain Dakar, Senegal genome assembly, scaffold: SCTD_scaffold0006190